rnacentral:lncRNA from 1 species
GGAGUUUGAAUAAUAUACUCAACAGUUAGAUAGUUAAUUUACACUUGAUCUGCUUUUGGUUACCAUGGGAACAAAAAAGUUCAGAUUUGAUACAAACCAUUAUGUACCUUAUAAUAUCUGUUUUGCAGCCCUGUAAAUGGACUUCUUUCAACCAUAAUCAACAAAAAUUAUAUUUCUCUAUAUUUACAACUCAUAUCUCUUGAUUUCAUGAAAGGGUCAUUUGUUUAUUGUAAUAACAAAGUAUGGCAUAGAAAUUUUAGAUGGAGAGACAG